rnacentral:lncRNA from 1 species
UGAAGUCAAACCUGUAUAUGACAGACUCCCAGUGAAUAUCGGAAUCAGAUCUGACAUUCAGAAACUCCAAAACAAGUGAUGAGAGACAGCUGCAUGCACCCAUAGUCUUAUGGAGAGAGUUGUUCCAUGUCACCGAGAACAAACUCAUCAUUUUGCCUGCAGCGCAGCUACUGACUUUUAGAUACUGUUUCCCCUCCUUGCCUUGGCCCAACCUCAGCUUUGGGGAAAGUCUCCUCAGAGUCAUCUUCCCUCUUCGUCUUCGAAAGCGCUCGCCAAAUCUCUCUUCCCACUGCUGAAGGACUAAAGCUACCUCCUCUCUGCAUCAUGGGACAGUAAAUAACUGCA